UUGACCUCAAAUCAGGUAGAACUACCCGCUGAAAUUAAGCAUAUCAAUAAGCGGAGGA
rnacentral:rRNA from 1 species